rnacentral:tRNA from 1 species
GGCUAUUUCUGUUAGAGAUAUUAUUGUUUUGAAAACAGUAAAAAAGUGUUCAAUUCACUUAGUAGCUU